AGCUCAGUUCCCACCUCCUGGGUGGGUGGUUGAGCACUGUGAUGGGGGGAAGUGGCUGACUGUGUGUCUCAUUGGCUGGCUGCUUCCUGAUGGGGCUGCAUCAAGUCUCCCAUUUCCACUUUGGCUAAGAGUUUGCUGAGGGCCACCAGUUUGCAACUUCUGCCUGAAAGGAAAGUAGAACUUGGCUGGAAGACAGAAUUAUGAAGAGACCAGAUAUAGAGUGAGAAAGAAAAAAAAAAGUACAUCCUUUGGGCUGAGCUAUUUCUAGCAUGAAAACAGGCCAACUUAUUUUUUAUUUAUUUUAUCUCCUAAUUGAUUCCAUAUUAUCAGCCCCUGGACCUUCUCAAAGCUGCCAUGUUUUCCACACUUGAGUAGGAGAUUUGUCCUCAGGCACAGAAUUUCUGGGCCAGUUCUUGCUAAAAUGUCACAGUUUUCAUAGUUAUAAUUCAUCACACUCAAGCACCCAUGGAAACAAUUGUCCACAACAUGAACUCAGAGAUCCAAAGUAAAAAUGUUUUUCUCUGCCAUAAUAAACAUCUCCUUGUGGAACUGAAGAUUAAAGGGAGACAUUUAUUUUACUAGGCUAUUGACUUUACUAUGGGGUACCUGAAAUUCCCAGGGUGACUCACAAAGAAGUGACAGUGAUAUGUUUGUGUCUCUUUAAAUAUGUACCAUUGUGAGUGUCAAGCUGCAAAGAUAAAUCUUUCUGAGGAAUAAUAGGAGACUUUCUGCUCUGGAAAUGAAUGGGCCUCUGGAUGGCUAUUUCCCAGGCUCCAAAUAUAAGGGCAGUUUUUGUCCACCCAUUCCUUCUCUGGCAUACAGAUGUGCCAGUGCCUCUGCUGUACUGCUGCUCCUCUCUUUCCUCCCGCAGUCCCACUGACCACACAAUCUCAGGCUCAUCACUGCAUUUAGCAAUCAUAGCAUCCGCUUUCAAAUUGGUCUCUGUCUCCAAUGUCUCCCAAUUCAAAUUAAUUCCGCA
rnacentral:lncRNA from 1 species